GAUGAAGAACGUAGCGAAAUGCGAUAAGUAAUGUGAAUUGCAGAAUUCAGUGAAUCAUCGAAUCUUUGAACGCACAUUGCGCCCGCCAGUAUUCUGGCGGGCAUGCCUGUUCGAGCGUCAUUUCAACCCUCAGGCCCCCAGUGCCUGGUGUUGGGGAUCGGCCCAGCCUUCCUGUAAGGCCGCCGGCCCCGAAAUCUAGUGGCGGUCUCGCUGUAGUCCUCCUCUGCGUAGUAGCACAACCUCGCAGUUGGAACGCGGCGGUGGCCAUGCCGUUAAACACCCCACUUCUGGAAGUUGACCUCGGAUCAGGUAGGAAUACCCGCUGAACUUAAGCAUAUCAAUAACGGAGGA
rnacentral:misc_RNA from 1 species